GCCAAACCCUGCAUCAGCCUAACUAUCUCGGUAGUGUCAUCGAGAUAGUAUUUGGCCUUGCUGGGCUUUCGGCCAACAGUACAAGCAAAGACUUCGGCUGCUGGAGCCAUGGACGGUCCAGACACCGAGCUCAUGAUCACCUCAAACAUGUCUUCAUCUGAUCGGUCAUCUCCUAUGCAGAGGACAAAAUCUGGUGACAUUCCUUUCUCUUGCAUUUCGUUAAGGAGGCGCUUGGCAACGAGCCCUUUGCUUACACCCUGGGGCUUAACUUCCACUAUAUUCUGUCCACUCUUGACAGUGACUGGUUCAUUAGCCAGCACACUUUCAAGGUGAUCAAGAAGUUCUUUAGCCUGACAUGAUCCAAAAUCAGGAUCCGCAUCCUCGUAAGACCAUACCAUUGAUGUUUCCUUGUCUUCAAUAACCGAUCCAUCAGUAGUUUCAGUGUAAAG
rnacentral:misc_RNA from 1 species